rnacentral:rRNA from 1 species
UGGGGAAUAUUGGACAAUGGGCGCAAGCCUGAUCCAGCCAUACCGCGUGGGUGAAGAAGGCCUUCGGGUUGUAAAGCCCUUUUGUUGGGAAAGAAAUCCAGCCGGCUAAUACCUGGUUGGGAUGACGGUACCCAAAGAAUAAGCACCGGCUAACUUCGUGCCAGCAGCCGCGGUAAUACGAAGGGUGCAAGCGUUACUCGGAAUUACUGGGCGUAAAGCGUGCGUAGGUGGUCGUUUAAGUCCGUUGUGAAAGCCCUGGGCUCAACCUGGGAACUGCAGUGGAUACUGGGCGACUAGAGUGUGGUAGAGGGUAGCGGAAUUCCUGGUGUAGCAGUGAAAUGCGUAGAGAUCAGGAGGAACAUCCAUGGCGAAGGCAGCUACCUGGACCAACACUGACACUGAGGCACGAAAGCGUGGGGAGCAAACAGGAUUAGAUACCCUGGUAGUCCACGCCCUAAACGAUGCGAACUGGAUGUUGGGUGCAAUUUGGCACGCAGUAUCGAAGCUAACGCGUUAAGUUCGCCGCCUGGGAGUACGGUCGC